GUUAAGCGACUAAGCGUACACGGUGGAUGCCCUGGCAGUCAGAGGCGAUGAAGGACGUGCUAAUCUGCGAUAAGCGUCGGUGAGGUGAUAUGAACCGUUAUAACCGGCGAUUUCCGAAUGGGGAAACCCAGUGUGUUUCGACACACUAUCAUUAACUGAAUCCAUAGGUUAAUGAGGCGAACCGGGGGAACUGAAACAUCUAAGUACCCCGAGGAAAAGAAAUCAACCGAGAUUCCCCCAGUAGCGGCGAGCGAACGGGGAGGAGCCCAGAGCCUGAAUCAGUGUGUGUGUUA
rnacentral:rRNA from 1 species